ensembl:lncRNA
AUGUCAGGAAAUAAAGUUGAUACCCAUGUAGUGGAGUUAGAGGAUUUAGAUGAGAGCAGACCUGAGAAAGAAGGUAAUGACGUAGACAUGGGGCAACAGAUAGAAGAGGAAACAGCCAGUAAAGCCUCCAGAGCUGAAUCAGAUCCUGAUUUAUCGUCAAAUAGUGAAAUCGAUGACACUGUCUUGGAUGAGGACUAUAGACCUGAGAAAGAUGACAGCCCAGAUAAUGGUAGUGAUACAGACACAGCUCAAGGAGCUGUCAGUGAAGGAGAUGCAGGAGAUGUACUUGAAACUUCUGCUGUUCAACGUCAUAGGCGCCCAAGGCCAGAUAUGUGGAAGCGAGAGCUGAUAAAGGAGAAGCGUCUUAAGGGGGAGAAUUACAAGAAUCCAAUGGGACAGGAGAGACCACCAAAGACCAUGGGCCCACCCUGCACAUCACAGCACUGCUUAAAGUCAGAGAAACGAAGUUGUGAACUACUGACUGAAGAGCAUAGAACAGAUAUCUUCAACAAUUUCUGGUCCAUGCCUUUCUGGGAGACACGCAAGCUGUAUAUCCAGACUCUAGUCCAAAAUGUGCCCAUAAAACAGAAGAAAGGUGGUGUUGCAUCAAGGAGAACAACGUCCCUAUUAUACCACCUGCAACUGGCAGAUAGACGUAAACUACCUGUGUGUAAGAAUCUUUUCUGUUCAACACUUGGCAUCGCCCCCAGAACCAUCGGAUCAUGGUUAAAAUCCAAAACUGAUCCGUGUAAACCCAAGAUCAACAAGACUGGCCCAUGUGUGCCCAUAUCAGAUGUUGACCAGACCUUCCUGAAAGAAUGGCUCUCUGGACUGCCUACAGUCCCAUCCCAUUACUGCCGUCAGGUUCCCUCCUAUCAGGAAAAGAAGUUCCUGGAGCCGGGAACAGUUCUAAGUGAUCUUCACAAGGAAUAUCAGAAAGCUGCUGGUGAAAAUGGAGCGCGUGCUGUGAGUGAGACAUAUUUUCGAAAUGUGUUCAGUGAGCAGAAUUACUCCGUGUUCAUACCAAAAAAAGACCAGUGUGAUGUAUGUGUCAGUGCCAAGGUAGGAAAUACAGAUGAGGAUACCCUUACUACUCACUUGAAAUUAAAGGCUCAGGCUCAAGCUGAAAAAGCUAAGGAUAAAAAGGAAUCCAGUGACAAACUUUCAGUGUGGACAAUGGACCUUCAAUGCGUUCUUCUGUGCCCCAAGACAAAAGCAAGUACAAUGUAUUACAAAACUAAAUUACAGAUGCACAACUUUACUUGCUUCAACAUGAACAACAAAGAUGGAUAUUGUUACGCUUGGGAAGAGCAUGAAGGCUCCCUCAGCAGUGAGGUUUUUGCCCAUCUGCAGUCCAAACACUUCGAAUCAAUCCUAGAGGCCAACGGAAACAUUGAGAAAGUCAUUGUCUGGAGUGAUGGCUGUGGAUAUCAAAAUCGGUGUGGUGCCAUCAGCAACACCUACCUUCAUCUGGCCAUGAAGCAUGGUGUCACCAUAGAGCAAAAGUUUCUGGUUGCUGGCCACACACAAAUGGAGUGUGACUCCAUGCAUAGCCUCAUUGAGCGGCGCAUCGUCAAAGAUAUUCACACUCCACGUGAUUACAUUGUCAUCUUUGAGACUGCACGAAUACAUCCAUCCCCAUACAAGGUGACCCAGCUAUACCACAAUGACUUCAUGAAGUUAUCUGGGGCCUACGUCACCAAUAUUCGACCAGGUAAAAAAGUUGGUGACCCCACAGUCCAUGGCCUCCGGGCUCUCCAGUACUUGGCUGAUGGUCGAAUCCGGUACAAGUUGGAUUUUGAGUCUGAAUGGGAGGACCUGCCUCAGCGAAUCAACAUCCCCAAAGAACCAUUCCACUGGGUCCCAAUCUUUCCUGCCCAACUGCCAAUUACUCUCAGGAAAUUCAAUGACUUGCAGGCAAUGAAACCAGUACUACCAAGAGUAGCCCACCAGUACUAUGACAACCUCCCUCAUCAAUAG